rnacentral:rRNA from 1 species
UACAUGCAAGUCGAACGAGGUCUUCGGACCUAGUGGCGCACGGGUGAGUAACAUGUGGGAAUCUACCUGAAGGUUCGGAAUAACUGCGGGAAACUGUAGCUAAUACCGGAUGUGUCUGCAAAGAGAAAGAUUUAUCGCCUUCAGAUGAGCCCGCACUAGAUUAGCUAGUUGGUGAGGUAAUUGCUCCACCAAGGCUCCGAUCUAUAGCUGAUUUGAGAGGAUGAUCAGCCACACUGGGACUGAGACACGGCCCAGACUCCUACGGGAGGCAGCAGUAGGGAAUAUUGGACAAUGGGGGAAACCCUGAUCCAGCAAUGCCGCGUGAGUGAAGAAGGCCUUCGGGUUGUAAAGCUCUUUCAUCAAUGAUGAUAAUGACAUUAGUUGAAGAAGAAGCCCCGGCUAACUUCGUGCCAGCAGCCGCGGUAAUACGAAGGGGGCUAGCGUUGUUCGGAAUCACUGGGCGUAAAGCGUAUGUAGGCGGAUCAAAAAGUUAGAUGUGAAAUCCCUGGGCUCAACCCAGGAACUGCAUUUAAAACUAGUGAUCUAGAAUUUGGUAGGGGUUAGUAGAAUUUCCAGUGUAGAGGUGAAAUUCGUAGAUAUUGGAAAGAAUACCAGUGGCGAAGGCGACUAACUGGGCCAUUUUUGACGCUGAGAUACGAAAGCGUGGGUAGCAAACAGGAUUAGAUACCCUGGUAGUCCACGCAGUAAACGAUGAGUGCUAGUCGCUGGGACAAUAGUUUCAGUGUCGAAGCUAACGCAUUAAGCACUCCGCCUGGGAAGUACGGUCGCAAGAUUAAAACUCAAAUAAAUUGACGGGGGCCCGCACAAGCGGUGGAGCAUGUGGUUUAAUUCGAAGCAACGCGAAGAACCUUACCAGACCUUGACAUGGUAUGUAUGAAUUACAGAAUCGUAAUUCUUCAGUUCGGCUGGCAUACACACAGGUGCUGCAUGGCUGUCGUCAGCUCGUGUCGUGAGAUGUUGGGUUAAGUCCCGCAACGAGCGCAACCCUCAUUUUUAGUUGCCAUCAGGUUAAGCUGGGCACUCUAAAAAAACUGCCGGUGAUAAGCUGGAGGAAGGCGGGGAUGACGUCAAGUCCUCAUGGCCCUUACGGUCUGGGCUACACACGUGCUACAAUGGUGGUGACAGUGGGCAGCAAUACUGCAAAGUAAAGCUAAUCCCAAAAAACCAUCUCAGUUCGGAUUGGACUCUGCAACUCGAGUCCAUGAAGUUGGAAUCGCUAGUAAUCGUAGAUCAGCGUGCUACGGUGAAUACGUUCUCGGGCCUUGUACACACCGCCCGUCACGCCAUGGGAGUUGGUUUUACCUUAAGCCGGUGCGCUAACCGCAAGG